UACGGAGGGUGCGAGCGUUAAUCGGAAUUACUGGGCGUAAAGCGCGCGUAGGCGGCUUAGUCAGUGAGGUGUGAAAGCCCCGGGCUUAACCUGGGAACUGCAUCUCAUACUGCUGAGCUAGAGUACGAGAGAGGGUUGUGGAAUUCCACGUGUAGCGGUGAAAUGCGUAGAUAUGUGGAGGAACAUCAGUGGCGAAGGCGGCAACCUGGCUCGAUACUGACGCUGAGGUGCGAAAGCGUGGGGAGCAAACAGG
rnacentral:rRNA from 1 species